AAUUGAUUUUAUUUUUUAAUAAUUUUUUUACUAUGGUUAAUUUUUUUUACUAUGAAAUGGUAAAAAAAAAUAUUUUUUAUUAUUAUAAAUAAAAAUAUAAUUUUUAAUUUAUUGAUUAAUUAUAAAUCCGUUGAACCGUUGUUGAACCAGUGAACCGUUACCGGUGCUUUGACCGUUCAAUGUCCGGUUCGGUUCUGAUACUAUUGAUCCAUUAUUUGAAUAGUUCCCAUCUCUAAUUCCUAUAUGAUUCUUUCUAAUUAUAGACAUUAGCCGAUCUUUCUUUCAAAUAGAAACGGGAACAUUCUAGAUUCUAUUGACGAACUUUUAUUGAUCCUUAUUAUUGAUCAAUAUUAUUCUCCAGAAUGGUAGAUUGACAAUGACUACCAUAUUCAUAUUUAUAUUUAUAUUUAACUAAAAGUUGUCUUUUUUUUUUAAUUGAUCAAAUAUACCCACUAACCAGUCUAUUUCAAUCAUUGUCUCGGCUAAUGAAGGUAAGGAAGAAGCUUUAUAUAUUUUAUAUUUGUCAUAAUUGUUACUUGUUAGCAGUAGUACUAUGGGAAAAUACAUUUCACCCCACGAUAGGUCGGAAAAACUUUAAUUAUCGUAUGUUCAUUGAAAAUAUACACCUGUUAGUUUUCAGGUGAGUUAUCAAAACUUGUUGUCCUUCAAUAUAAGUAAUAUUUUGUCGAACAAUAGAAAAAAUAAAAGACAAAAUAAAAAUAGGUCCAAUGAUUGGAAGAUAAUAUAUAGAAGAGUUAGUGUUGCUCUCUCUCUCUAGCGUGUUCAAGACUUUUGCAUGACUCACAUGACCGCCAUCUCUCUCUAUUUUGUUGUUCUGAUUAUUAUUCCGAAACUGAAUUGGCUCACUUGUGAUUUGCAUAUUCUUCGUUUUAAUAUAUAUGGGCCAACUGUUUUUUGGUAAUUGAGAAUCCAUUGGAAGACCAAUGCGUGAGUGAUUCGAGGCUGUCAAACCUUCCUAAUUACAAGGAAGUAUAUAAAGGCAGCUAUCUAAAAGACUUGAUCUUAUUCAACCAUCUUAGCAUUAUGGGGUUCUUGUUGUGCCCAAAACGAGUUACCAGUCCCUCACUAACAUCAACCACACACACAAGACAAUGAUUUACGUGGUUCGGCCAACAAUGCCUAGUCCACGGGAGGAAUCUGUUAAUCACUAUCAGAAAUGAAUUACAAUAAAUCCAAAGGAGGAGAUCACACUCCACUAACUCUUCUCGCUAUCUCACAGUCUUGCUCUUUCACUCACAGCACCUCACUCACUCUAUACUGCCCUCUUCCUCACUCUCUGUACUUCUCCCGCCUCCCUUCCCCUCUCUGAUCUGCUCUCCUUAUAGAGGAGAUCGGGCCUCCAUUGUUGACAAUCACCGCCGCAUCCUUCUCUCUCUGCCAUUCUUUUCCUUCCCGCCUUCUAAUCAGAGACUUUGUCUCUGACAGAUUGUCAAAUUGAGGCUGCUUCUGGAAGAGAGAUUGAAGGCAAUUGGUCAAGGCAUGGAAGACUUGUGCCUUGGGCUUUCUAUGUGGCUUAAUGGGCUUGCUCCCAUGGCUGAUCCAACAAUCUCCCCUCCAGUCCCAUUGGAGGGUAACUCUGAAAUCUUCAAGUUAAUCCAUCUCUGACACUUCUGUCCGCUCCCCCGUAAAAGAUCUGCAAGACUGCAUCCGAAGAUAUCUUGGCCCUCAUCAAUGGGCAAUGCACUUCCAGACUGAAUGCCUGCACCUUCUUCCUUAGGUGCUCACUCCCCUCACCGGAGGCUCCGCAAAGUACCUCACUUUUCGAGUCCGUCGUGGCCUCUCGCUCUCGCUCCCUGGUGUACCAUCUGAAGAGCUCACUGCCACUAAUCAAAUCGAGAGCAAAAGAGAACUCGUUUUCCGUCGACGUCGCGCCUGUCCGAUUUACAACUUCUUCAGAAUUCGACUUUGUUCUCCUUCCUCUGGACUUUUUCUAUGACAUCCUGCACUGGCGCACUGGUCCUUUUCUGGUCAUGACUUCCGCACGUGUCUCAAAGCAUCUCUUGCGUACCACUCUGGCUCCUCCAGGUGUCUCUGCGCUUGCUUUGUGUGCCUGUGUGCACCUCUGCUUCCCUUGUCCAUUCUUCCGUCUUAUAUCACUGGACCUAUGUCGGACAGCAUCUCUUCCUGUCUGGACAUUCCCCUCCAUUCGAUAUAGUCCUUUGAUCUUCCUUCCCUCGCAUCUCUUUGUUUCCUUGAAAUUUCUCAAGAUUCCUCCCUUAGCUCAAUGCUGCAACCCAUUGAUCUAGCAUUCCGAUGGAAGUAAAUUCUUUCGUAGUUUGGGAACAUGCCGUACCUCGGUCACACGUUUACGACCUCCCGUCUGCCAUGCGGACCACGCGAAAUUUUUUAUAAAUAUAAGUAUAAUAAAAAACCGGACUGUUUCCUUGCCACCACUUUGUUCCGUCGUGUUUUGUUCGCCAUCCGUACAAUCCCUCGCAUGUUGAUAUGUAGAGAACAUCGCCUGUCUCUACAAAAUGGUAGCACUUCCUGAAUCCAAUACCAGUCUGGAUUCUCAUCUGCCGAUGAGACUAGGAAUGCAUCAUUAUCGAUCUUCAUCACUGAUGCCGAUGCUGAUGCUGUCUCUGAAGACUGGAUCUGUGCUUUAUACUUGGGCAAUUUCCUCUUCAUAUGCCCUUCUGAUCACCGAAAAACACUUAAAACGGCGACCCCUUGAUUGGACUCGGCCGUCCUCUCCCAUUAUUCCUCUGUGACCUCGACCUCGUUCCCUCUUCCGUCUGAGAUUAGGGCCUGCGACUCCUUCGCUCUGUCAGCCCAUCCUUCUUCCGUGCUUCUUCGUUGAAUGGGCAUCCUUUUACUGUAUUCAAAGUCAACUUCCCAUCCUUCGCGGAAUUAUACGAGAGAAACACCAAUGUCUCCCAACUCUCAGGUAAAAACUCAGAAGCAGUAGGGCCCAUCUCUCGUCAAAUAUUAGUCAACACUGCUCAAUUGGUGACCAAAUUCUGGAACUCCUUGUAUGUUUCGCCACGGUCCCUCUCUGUAGUUUUCAAAAUUUACAAGCCUCCUCAGUUCAUAAGGCCUUGUUCGAGAUGUCUUCGCUUGGUAACAUCUUCUCAAUUUGGUCCAUACAUCGGAACCCUCGGCUCUUGUGGGCUACGUGGUGGAACCCCUCGUGUCCAAUGCACUGUCUGAUAGCCCGAUGUAUUUUUCUGUCAUCUUCGUCCACCUCCUCAUCCUUCUCUCUGCCGGUUUUUCUCCUUUAUUCUCUAAAGGAUCAUGCAAAUCUUUGCAAAUAGGAUGUCCUUCCAUCCGCGGAUUUCCAUAGAGCGGAAUUUUGUAGCUGAAAGCAUAAUCCAUAGCUCCCCAAAUUAGACUCCGCCAUAUUACUUCUCUAAUAGAAGCAAAAUCUUCGAAAACCGACCCCGCGGAUUGAUCCGGACGCCGAGAAAACUCAGAAUAGGCUUUUUUCGUCAAAAAAUCAUACACUUCUGGGACCCAAAUUGCAUCAAUUGAAACUUAGGGACUAACUUGAAAUUUUCAUUUUUCCAUGGACCUAAUUGCAAUUUCCAAAGUACCAGGGACCAACUGCAAUUUCCCAACUUCAGGACCAAUUGAAAAUAUCAGAAAUUCAGGUACCGAAGUAUUUUUCACUUUUCGGUCACGCUGGUGCUAAGGGCAACGUUGACCAGUCAACGGUCAGCGGCCCUGGUUACGCUGGACUUGACUGGUCCGCGGCUCGGCUGGUCAACUCGGUCAACGUCUCUAGCUUGAUCGUUAACGGCUCGGGUCACCCGGUCAACGACUCUUGGUUUACCGAUCGGCGCUUUCCGCUCUAUUCGCUCGCGCGUGUAUCAAACGCGAGGUUCUGCGCGGCUCGCGCGCGUAUCAGCGCGGCUCACGCCACGGAUCAACUUGCUUCGGCUGAGGCGCGUAGUCAGCGACUUGCCGCCACUUGCUGGCGCGUGCAAGGCGCGUGCGUGGCGGUGAGGCCACGUGGGCGCGCUGGGUUGGCGCGUGGCCGCGCGUCAGGCCUUCUCUAUGCGCUGUUCGGGCGCCGUGGCGCGCGUGGGCGUGAAUCUCAGUCGUCUUCAACUGCCUCUCCCGCGCGCGUGUGCGCGUGGAUCUGAUGCUCCUACCCUUCAUCGGCUCGUGAGGGCUGUUUGGAGUUCCGAUUUUGACUCCGUUUUGGUGCUGGAGCUUCGUAUCGAAGAGACGAGGUGAGGUAUACUCAAAUCUCAGUUUUGAGCAAUUCGAAUUUGGUCAGAAUCUCGAAGAUUUACUCCGGUUGGCACUCCGGUGACUCCGCGGGACUCGAAUUUGGCUCUGAUCCCAAUUGUUGUGCCCAAAACGAGUUACCAGUCACUCGACCAACUCACCCACACACACAAGACAAGAUUUACGGUCGGCAACAAUGCCUACGUCCACGGAGAGGAAUCUUUCCUUCACUAUCAGAAAUGAAAUUACAUAAAUAAAGGAAGGAGAUCACACUCAACUCCCUCUUCUCUCUAUCUCACAGUCUUGCUCUCCGUCACUCACCGCACUCCUCAAUCUUACUGCCCUCUUCCUCACUCCUGUACUUCUCCCCACUCACUUCCUCAUCUCUGAUCUGGCUCUCCAGCCCUUAUAGAGGAGAUCGUCCUCCAUGUGUGACAAUCAUCAUCCGCAUCCGUCUCUCUCUGCCAUUCUUUUCCUUCCUCCGCCUCUAUCAGAGACUUUGUCUCUGACAGAUUGUCAAUUGAGGCUGCUUCUGGAAGAGAGGAUUGAAAGGAUUGGCAGGGCAUUGAAGACUUGAGGCCUUGGGCUUUCUAUUUGGCUUAAUUGGCUGGCUCCAUGGGCUGGAUCCAACAGUUCUUUCUAUUGCACUAGAGUAUCUCUUAAUAAAAUAUUAGUAUAUUCAGGUUUGGUUUUAAGUAUUGACAUUUACGAACUUAUUGAACACACUAAGUUUCUUCCUUUACAAAGUAUUAUACCCAACUCUAAAGGCCAAAGUUAGAAUUAUUUUUCCUUUUUUUUUUUUGGAAUUAGCUAUCUUUUAAGUGGAACAACUUAUGUUUCUACCUGUAGUAUUUUAGUUUGUAUGUUAUCAAUUUUUAAUUUUUUAUUUCUCUUUUUAUUUUUAUUUUUAUUUUUAAUUUUUAUAUUUUUUGUUUUUGUUUUUGUUUUUAUUUUUAUUUUUUAUUUUUAUUUCUAUUUCUGUUUUCCUUUUUUGUUUCUAUUUUUAUUUUCUGUUUUUAUUAUAUUUUUGUCUGUUUUCUGUUUUUAUUUCUUGUUUCUAUUUCUAUUUUCUGUUUUUUUAAUUUUAUUUUUUGCUUUUUGUUUUUUAUUUUAUGUUUUUAUUUAUGUUUUCAGAUUUUUUGUGUUCUCAGUUUUUAUUUUUUAUUCGAUUUUAUUUUUUUAGUUUAGUUUUUUAUGUAUUUUUUUGUUUUUUUGUUUCUAUUUCUAUUUUCAUUUUUAAUUUCUAUUUAUUUUUUUAAUUAUAAUUUUAUGUUUCUAUUUAUGUUUUUAGUGUUUUAUAUGUUCUCAAAUUUUAUUUUUUAUUUUUAUUUUUAUUUUAUAUUUCUAUUUUUUAAUGUUUUUUCAUUGUUUUUUUAUGUUCUCAAAUUUUAUUUUUUUAUUUCUUUGUUUUCUAUUUUAUUUUUAUUUUUUGUUUUAUUCCUAUUUCUAGUUUUAGUUUUAGUUUUCAUUUAUAUUUUUUUUUUCAAUUUUCGAUUAUUUUUCUAAGUCUGUUUUUAAUUUCUUUUUAUUCAUUUUUGUUUUCUUCUAUUUAUAUUUUUUUUCUACUUCCUAAUUUCUUUUUUUUCUACAUCUAUUCCUAUUUAUGUUUUCUGAUUUUAUUUUUAUUUUUAUUUUUACUUUUUGUUUUGUAUUUCAAUUUCUAUUUUAUGUUUUUGUUAUCAUAUAAGAAUAUAAUGGCAGCUAUCUAAAAUAUUUGAUCUUAUUCAACCAUCUCGGCGUGAUGGGGUUCUAUCUAUUGCACUAAGUAUCUGUAUAAAAGAUUGGUAUUCUAGGUUUGGCUUUAGCUAAUGACAUCUAGAGUACACAGCCUAUUGAAACACGCUAUGGUUACUUCCUUUAUAGUAGUUUUAUCAUAGUACUCUAAAACGGCUAAAGUUGAAAUUUUUUUUUCUUUUUUUUGCAAUUGCAUCUUUUAAGAGGACAACUGCUCUUCCUACUGUAUAUUUAGUUUUUAUGUUCUCAAUUUUUUAUUUUUUUAUUUUUAUUUUUAUUCUCUCUUUUUAUUUUCUCACUUUUGUUUAUUUUUUUUUGGUGUUUAUUUUUAUAGUUUUAUUUUUUGUAUUUAGAUUUUUUUAUGUAUUUUUUGUUUUUGUUUUUUCUAUUUCUAUUUUUGAUUCUAUUUAUGUUUUCUGAUUCUAUUUUUAGUUUAUAUUUCUAUUUUUAUUUUAAAUUUCUAUUUAAGAUUUUUAUUUUAAUUUUAUGUUUCUAUUUAUGUUUUUCAGUGUUUUUAUGUUCUCAAAUUUUAUUUUCUAUUUUUUUUCUUAAUAAUUUUAUUUUUAUAUUUUUAUUUCUUUUUAUGUUCUCAUUUUUUAAUUUUUGUUUCUAUUUCUAUUUUUUUGUUUUAUUCUUAUUGCUAUUUUUAUUUUCAGUUUUUUAUUCUAUGGGGGGGGGGGGAGGGGUUUUUUCGUUUUAAUAAUCUUAUAUAUAAUUUUUGUUCUAUUUCUAUUUUAUUUUCUACUUUCUAUUUCCUAUUUUUGUUUUCCUAUUUCUACUUUUAUUUUCUACUUUUUGUUAUGUAUUUCAAUUUCUAAUUUAUGUUUUAAUUUUUUAUUUUAUUUAUGUUUUCAGUUAUUUUAUGUUUUUAAUUUAUUUCAUCUUUUAAUUUCUAUUUCUAUAUUUUUAUUUUUAGUAUUUAGUUUAAGUGUUUAAUUUUCUUUUAUUAUAUAUUUAAUAUUUUUUAUUCAAAUUCUAUUUCUAUUUUUUUUUCUGUUUUUUUUUUUUUUUUAUUUCUAUUUCUAUCUUGCGGGAUCAUAUUCUAUUUUUAGUUUUUAUUUUAAUUAUCUAUUUCUAAAUUUAUUCUUAUUUUGAAUUUUCUUUAAUUUUUAUUUUCUGUUUUUACUUCUCUUUUUCUUUUCUUUUCUUUUUCUUUUUCUAAUUUUUAUUUUUAUUUUUUAAUUCUAUUUCUAUUUGUAUUUCUGUUUAGUUAAUCUACUUCUAUUUUUUGAUUUCAUUUCUAGUUUAUAUUUUUAUUUCUGUUUUUAAUUUUUAUUUUCUAUUUCUAUUUAUUUAUUCAGUCUUUUUUAUGUUCUUAAAUUUUAUUUUUUAUUCCUCUUUAGAGUUUUGUUUUUGUUUUUGUUUUAUGUUUUCAGUUUUUUUUAUCUCAAUUUUUAUUCUAUUUCAGUUAAUAAUUCUCUUUUAGUUUUUUGUUUUCAUUUCUUUGUUCAGUUUUUAUUUUUAUUUCUGUUUAUAUGUAUAUGUAUUUUAUAUUUUUAUUUUGUUUCUGUUUCUGUUUUAUGUUUCUAUUUCUAUUUCUUUUUUAUGAUUCUAUUCCUAUUUCUGUUUUUAGUUUAUAAUUCUAUUUUCAAUUUUAAUUUCUUUUUUUAUGUCCAGUUUUUAUUUCUGUUUCUCUUUUUUUUAAUUUCUACAUUUAUUUUCUCUUUUUAUGCCUAUUUUUGUAUUCUAUUUUUUCUUCUUCUAUUUUUAGCUUUUAUUUCAGUUUUUUUUUCUAUUUCUGUUUCUAUUCUUGUUUUUUUAUUUUUUUAUUUUUUUAUUUUUUAUUUUUUAUUUUUAGUUUUAUUUCAACUUCUAUUUAUAGUUCUUAAUUUUUAUUUUCAAUUUCAAUUUCAAUUUUUUAUUUUUUGGUUUCUUUUUUUGUUUUUUAUUUUCAGUUUCUAUUUCUAUUUUUUUCAGUUUUAUUUCUAUUUCCAUUUAUGUUUUUAGUUUUUUAUUUUAUUUGUUUCAGUAUUUAUUUUCUGCUUUUAAUUUUUAUUUUCAGCUUCUGUUUAUGUUUUUAGUUUUUUUACUGUUCGCAUAGUUUAUUUUCUCUUUCUCUUUCUCUUUCUGUUUUUAAUUUUUAUUUUUAGUUUCUAUUUUAAUUUUUAAUAUUAAUAUUAUUUUUUUAUUUUAGUUUCUUUUUUAUUUCUUAUUCUUUACUCUUUAUUCUUUAUAUCUGUUUUUAUUUCUGUUUUUCUAUUUCUACUUUCGUUUUUGUUUUUUUUUUACAUUUUUUUUAUUUUUUUUUAUUUUUAUUUUUUUAUUUUUAUUUUUUUUUGUUUUCUGUUUUCGUGUUUUACAUUUAAAUCUAUUUUUAAUUUUAAGUUUCUAUUUCUUCAUUUAGUUUCAUGUUUUUAUUUUCAGUUUAUAUUUUUUUGUUUACUAUUUUUUAUCUUUUUCUAUUUCUAUUUUUGUGUUUUAGUUUACAAUUUAUUUUUUUUAGUUUUUUUAGAUGUUCUUAUUUUUUAUUUUUUAUUUUCAGUUUAUAUUUCUCAAUUUGCUUUUAGUUUUUGUUUUUAUUUUUUGGUUUCCUUUUUUAUUUUCAAUUUCUAUUUGUAUUUGUAUUUGCUGUUUUUGGUUUUUGUUAUUUUUUUUAAUUUUUUUUUUUUUGUUUUUAAAAAACUAAUUUCUAUCUCCGAUUUUAUUUUUAUUUUUUAUUUUUUGGUUUUAGUUUAAAAAAAAAAAAAUAUUUUUACAUUUUUUAGUUUUUAAUUUCUAGCGUUUUCACUCUGUUUUUGAUUCCAUUUAUUUUUAUUUUAUUUUUUAUUUUCAUUUUAUUUUUCGUUUCUCAUUUCUAUUUCUUUCUAUUUAUGUUUUUUUUCUAUUUCUGUUUCGAUUUUAUGUUUUCAAUUCAUAUUUCUACUUUUUUGUUUCUAUUUCGAUUUUCUGAUUGUAUUUUUAAUUUUAGUUUUUAUUUCUGUUUUUAGUUUCUCUUUUUUUUUAUUUAAUUUCUCUUUUUUUCUUUUUAUUUUCUUUUUCUAUUUUUUAUCUUUUUCUAUUAGUUUCUAGUUCUAUCUUUUUUCAUUUUUUUUCUAUUUUUAAUUUUUAGAUUUUUAUUUUUAUUUUUUUUCUAGUUCUAGUUCUAUCUUUCUAUUUCUAUUCCUAUUUCUAUUUAUGUUUUUUAUUUCUAUUUUUCAUUUAUUAUGCUAUUUUCAGUUUUGAUUUCUGUUUUCUAUUCUGUUUUUUGUUUUUGUUCCAAACAACUAAUAUAAUAAUUAUUUUUUUUUUUCUACAAACGGAUCUUGAAAUUUUUGAAUAUCGGAUUGAGAAACCCAAAAAAGUGAUUCCAUUCCGAAUUGAGGAUUCUAGCCAUCCAAACAGGACCUCAAUGCUUGGAAGUAUUGUUAGUAUUAGAAUUUUAACGGGUCAUCAAAUGGGGGAUGACUAUCGUAACUGCUAUAAACCCAAGGGGUUGUUUGGCUAUCGGAUUUAGAGGGAAUAACUUUUUUUCCCGUAAUUUUUUCUCGCCGGCGUUUGGGCUGACAGAUAUUGAGGUGGAUAAUUUAUGCCCCCGGAGGUGGAUAAGGCAGAUAUUUUUGGUGGGCCUAAACCCUAACUAAAAGUUAUCCCGGAAGCUAGUGGUCGGAGGAUAAGAAAAAAAUCUAUAAAGAAAAUAAAAUAUAUAAUUUUUUUAUAUAGAAGAGAGAAUACAAUAUAUAUUUUUUUUAUAUCUAAAUCUUUUAUAGUUUGUUUAUCUAUAUAUAUUUCUUCCAUCUCUCCACCCUUAUUCACCCAUUCUAAAAAGCAUCCAAAUAAAAUUAAAAGUUAUCCCCUCUCUAAAAAUUAUCCCAUUCUAAAAGUUAUCCCCAUCCCAUAUUCUUCUGCCAAACAAGCCUUAAAUAGUUGAGCAUCCACAUCAGCCUCAUCAAAUUAGAGCUAAAUUAUAACUUCAAAAUCACAUAAUUUAUUUUAACUAGUCGUUUUUUUAACACUUAAUCUGUUUUUCUAUUUUUCUAUUUUUCUAUUAUUUAUUUAUUAUUCUUUUACUAUUUAUUGAUUCUAUGCUAUAAUUUUUUUUUAACUCCCAUAGUUUUAAUAAGGUUUUUAUUGUGUCCCACGGAAGUAUUUCUUA
rnacentral:lncRNA from 1 species